rnacentral:rRNA from 1 species
CACUGUGGAAUUCGCCCUUAUAGUUUGAUCCUGGCUCACAUUGAACGCUGGCGGCAGGCCUAACACAUGCAAGUCGAGCGGAUGAAGAGAGCUUGCUCUCUGAUUCACCGGCGGACGGGUGAGUAAUGCCUAGGAAUCUGCCUGGUAGUGGGGGACAACGUCUCGAAAGGGACGCUAAUACCGCAUACGUCCUACGGGAGAAAGCAGGGGACCUUCGGGCCUUGCGCUAUCAGAUGAGCCUAGGUCGGAUUAGCUAGUUGGUGAGGUAAUGGCUCACCAAGGCGACGAUCCGUAACUGGUCUGAGAGGAUGAUCAGUCACACUGGAACUGAGACACGGUCCAGACUCCUACGGGAGGCAGCAGUGGGGAAUAUUGGACAAUGGGCGAAAGCCUGAUCCAGCCAUGCCGCGUGUGUGAAGAAGGUCUUCGGAUUGUAAAGCACUUUAAGUUGGGAGGAAGGGUUGUAGAUUAAUACUCUGCAAUUUUGACGUUACCGACAGAAUAAGCACCGGCUAACUCUGUGCCAGCAGCCGCGGUAAU